GCUAGGUGUGGUGGUGCACCCCUGUAAUCCCAGCGAUGCCGGAGGCUGAGGCAGGAGGAUCAAAGCUAGUCUCAGCAACAUUGAGGCACUAAACAACUCAGUGAGACCCUGUCUCUA
rnacentral:sRNA from 1 species